GCAGUAGCCACGGGAAUACAGAGGGUGCGAGCGUUAAUCGGAUUUACUGGGCGUAAAGCGUGCGUAGGCGGCUUUUUAAGUCGGAUGUGAAAUCCCUGAGCUUAACUUAGGAAUUGCAUUUGAUACUGGGAAGCUAGAGUAUGGGAGAGGAUGGUAGAAUUCCAGGUGUAGCGGUGAAAUGCGUAGAGAUCUGGAGGAAUACCGAUGGCGAAGGCAGCCAUCUGGCCUAAUACUGACGCUGAGGUACGAAAGCAUGGGGAGCAAACAGGAUUAGAUACCCCUGUAGUCCCUGUCUCUUAUAC
rnacentral:rRNA from 1 species